rnacentral:rRNA from 1 species
GGGCCCGCACAAGCGGUGGAGCAUGUGGUUCAAUUCGACGCAACGCGAAGAACCUUACCCAGGCUUGAAGAGCGAGUGACCAUUCACGAAAGUGGACUUCCGCAAGGACACUCGUAGAGGUGCUGCAUGGCUGUCGUCAGCUCGUGUCGUGAGAUGUUGGGUUAAGUCCCGCAACGAGCGCAACCCUUGUUUGCUGUUGCCAUCACGUGAUGGUGGGCACUCUGCAAAGACUGCCGGUGAUAAACCGGAGGAAGGUGGGGAUGACGUCAAGUCAGCAUGGCCUUUAUGUCUGGGGCUACACACGUGCUACAAUGGCCGAUACAAACCGUCGCGAUACCGCAAGGUGGAGCUAAUCGGAGAAAGUCGGUCUCAGUUCGGAUAGCAGGCUGCAACUCGCCUGCUUGAAGUUGGAAUCGCUAGUAAUCGCGGAUCAGCACGCCGCGGUGAAUACGUUCCCGGGCCUU